rnacentral:rRNA from 1 species
GGACGAACGCUGGCGGCGUGCUUAACACAUGCAAGUCGAGCGGUAAGGCCCUUUCGGGGGUACACGAGCGGCGAACGGGUGAGUAACACGUGGGUGACCUGCCCUCAGCUCUGGGAUAAGCCUGGGAAACCGGGUCUAAUACUGGAUAUGACUCCAUGACGCAUGUUGUGGGGUGGAAAGCCUUGUGCGGCUGAGGAUGGGCCCGCGGCCUAUCAGCUUGUUGGUGGGGUGAUGGCCUACCAAGGCGACGACGGGUAGCCGGCCUGAGAGGGCGACCGGCCACACUGGGACGUGAGACACGGCCCAGACUCCUACGGGAGGCAGCAGUGGGGAAUCUUGCGCAAUGGGCGAAAGCCUGACGCAGCGACGCCGCGUGAGGGAUGACGGCCU